ACCUGGGUGGCUCAGUCAGUUAAGCAUCUGACUUCAGCUCAGGUCAUGAUCUCUCAGUCUGUGGGUUCAAGCCCCGCAUCAGGCU
rnacentral:tRNA from 1 species